AUUGAACGCUGGCGGAAUGCUUUACACAUGCAAGUCGAACGGUAGAGGGGGCAACCCCUCGAGAGUGGCGAACGGGUGAGUAAUAUAUCGGAACGUGCCCAGUCGUGGGGGAUAACGUAGCGAAAGUAACGCUAAUACCGCAUACGAUCUAAGGAUGAAAGCGGGGGAUCGCAAGACCUCGCGCGAUUGGGGCGGCCGAUAUCAGAUUAGGUAGUUGGUGGGGUAAAGGCUCACCAAGCCAACGAUCUGUAGCUGGUCUGAGAGGACGACCAGCCACACUGGAACUGAGACACGGUCCAGACUCCUACGGGAGGCAGCAGUGGGGAAUUUUGGACAAUGGACGCAAGUCUGAUCCAGCCAUUCCGCGUGCAGGAUGAAGGCCCUCGGGUUGUAAACUGCUUUUGUACGGAACGAAAAGGUCUCUCUUAAUACGGGGGACUCAUGACGGUACCGUAAGAAUAAGCACCGGCUAACUACGUGCCAGCCGCCGCCGUAA
rnacentral:rRNA from 1 species